rnacentral:rRNA from 1 species
CCGGAAAGCUCACCGGAGGCGACGGUUAUAUGAAGGCCAAGCUGAUGACUUUGCCUGAUUUUCCGAGAGGUGGUGCAUGGCCGCCGUCAGUUCGUACCGUAAGGCGUUCUGUUAAGUCAGAUAACGAACGAGACCCUCAUCUUUAAUUGCUACUGGUAAGUCCGCUUAUCAGGCACAUUAAAGAAACCGCUGGCGAUAAGUCAGAGGAAGGCGAGGGCAACGGUAGGUCAGUAUGCCCUGAAUCCUCCGGGCUACACGCGCGCUACAAAGGCCAGGACAAUGAGCUUCGACACCGAGAGGUGAAGGUAAUCUCGAAACCUAGUCAUAGUUCGGAUUGAGGGUUGAAACUCACCCUCAUGAAGCUGGAAUCCGUAGUAAUCGCAGAUCAACAUCCUGCGGUGAAUAUGCCCCUGCUCCUUGCACACACCGCCCGUCAAACCAUGCGAGUUGGGUCUGAGUGAGGAUGUAGUUUUUGCUGCGUUCAAACUUAGACUUAGUAAGCGGGGUUAAGUCGUAACAAGGUAUCCGUAG